rnacentral:rRNA from 1 species
CAAGUCGAACGGUAGCAGCAGAAGCUUGCUUCUGGCUGACGAGUGGCGGACGGGUGAGUAACGCGUGGGAAUCUACCCUUUAGCGGGGGGACAACUCGAGGAAACUCGAGCUUAAUACCGCAUAAUCCCUUCGGGGCAAAGGCUUCGGCCACUAUUGGGAUGAGCCCCGCGUCCGAUUAGCUUGUUGGUAGGGUAGUGGCCUACCAAGGCGACGAUCGGUAGCUGGUCUGAGAGGACGAUCAGCCACACUGGGACUGAGACACGGCCCAGACUCC